UACAAAGGUGGCAAGCGUUGUUCGGAUUUACUGGGCGUACAGGGAGCGUAGGCGGUUGGAUAAGCCCUCCGUGAAAUCUCCAGGCUUAACCUGGAAAGUGCAGAGGGGACUGUUCAGCUAGAGGAUGGGAGAGGAGCGCGGAAUUCCCGGUGUAGCGGUGAAAUGCGUAGAGAUCGGGAGGAAGGCCGGUGGCGAAGGCGGCGCUCUGGAACAUUUCUGACGCUGAGGCUCGAAAGCGUGGGGAGCAAACAGG
rnacentral:rRNA from 1 species